GGAUAUCAUCAAAGGAUGUGGCCUAGUGGUUAAUGAAAUGGGUUGAGAGCCAUGAGGACUCAGGUCUAAAUCCCAGCAAAGACAAAACACUAGGUGAUUUCAUCCCAUCUGUAGCAUUGGUGGACAAAGUUAUCUAACACUUGUUGCUAGUGGGAGGUGGCAAAAAACAUUGCCGUUUGUGAAGAUUAUAUUGCUUAGUACAACAGUACAGUACUAUAGUGGCUAAUUCUAAAACAUUGGGUAAGAACUCAGA
rnacentral:misc_RNA from 1 species